rnacentral:lncRNA from 1 species
UUGUGACUAUAUAAUUAGCCAGGUGAGUUUUCGUGGAGGUUCGCAAUGGGUAGAGUGUCUUCAUCUAGAUCAUAUAACUCUGUCCAUAUAUCAAUGAGGUUAGCCACAUGGAUUCUUUGAUUUUCAAGAAAUGAAUCAAGGUCUAUGAAACAUUUCCUAAUGCUGGGUCUUUUUUACCCAAUGCAUCUAAGUUACUUUGGAAGCAACCAAGGAAAUCGGUUUCGGAAUCAAGAAGAGAAGAAUCUUCACACCAAACCCUUAGUCUUCUAGUCCAAGUCUCUAUGGAUUGUCCACAAAGUGAUCUUCCGAUGGCUGAAAUGGCAAGUGGAAAUCCCUUACAGUGUUCUACUAUCUGCAGUUCAAUUGUCCCAAUGAAAGUCAAUUACUUUUGAAUUGAGACUCAAAUUCUAGAUUCUCUAAAUGUUCUGAAUGGUUUGAUGAAAGAGAGAAAACGAAUGCAAGCAUAUACAAAUAUAUGAAUGAGGAUAUGCCAUGCAUUGAAUUUAAUAAAUCACAUGUUUGGCAAGGGGUUGUGGAACAUAAGAGCUAUUAUCUUCGAGUGAAGUAGAAUGAUAAAAUAGGGUCAUUGCAUCUUCAUCAUUCAACGGUUUAAACAAUAUGUGUUCAUGCUCUUUUUCAGAAAGGGCUAACUUAGAGAGAUGUGGUGUGUCUUCAACAGGGGAGAAUGUGAGGACCUUCGGUAAUGGAUGAACCUGCAGAAGACAAAGUGGGAGAAGCAGUCGUCAAGCUUCGGACACUGAUGUGGUGCCAGCCGAAGGCUCUCCGAUGAUUAAGUUAGCUAUAAGUGGUAACUUUGGUACUGUUCCCUAUUUAUAGGAGAGUCAAAAUGGGAGCUUUGCACAAAGUUUCAAUGUGAGACUUUGUGCAAGUUGCUUUGGUGGUGACAUGUGUCCUUAGAGAUUAGGUUCGGCAGGUGGUCGCCACUUCAGAAGAGUGUCUUCCUUUGCCAUGGAGGAAGGCAUGUCUACCUUGGUGUUAGUCGUUUUUGAUGCUAGACAUGCUUGGUUGAUUGUGGUGUAAACAGUAGUCCCCAAGUUGUCAAUCAAGAAGUGGCUUCUGGUUUGGGAAUUUGUAAGAAAGUUGCAUAAUUAAAUCGAGCGUGUCGGCAUGACGGGUGCCCUAGGCAGUCCCGUAGUCCCCUAAGUUCAUAAGUUAGAAGGCACGCCCCCCAUUUCUUUUUUUUUGGGGCUUCGGCAUGUUGUGUGUCGAAGGGAAGUUAGCCUUCCGAAGGAAAAAUGAAGGUCAUUACUACAUUGUGACUAUAUAAUUGGCUAGGUGAGUUUUGGUGGAGGGUCGUAAUGGGUAGAGUGUCUUCAUCUAGAUCAUAUAACUCUGUCCAUAUAUCGAUAAGGUUAGCCACAUGGAUUCUUUGAUUUUCAGGAAAUGAACCAAGGUCUAUGGAACAUUCCCUAAUGCUGGGUCUUUUUUACCCAACGCAUCUAAGUUGCUUUGGAAGCAACCAAGGAAAUCGGUUUCGGAAUCAAGAAGAGAAGAAUCUUCACACCAAACCCUUAGUCUUCUAGUCCAAGUCUCUAUGGAUUGUCCACAAAGUGAUCUUCCGAUGGCUGAAACAGCGUUCUACUAUCUGCAGUUCAAUUGUCCCAAUGAAAGUCAAUUACUUUUGAAUUGAGACUUAAAUUCUAGAUUCUCUAAAUGUUCUGAAUGGUUUGAUGAAAGAGAGAAAACGAAUGCAAGCAUAUACAAAUAUAUGAAUGAGGAUAUGCCAUGCAUUGCAUUUAAUAAAUCACCAGUUUGGCAAGGGGUUGUGGAACAUAAGAGCUAUUAUCUUCGAGUGAAGUAGAAUGAUGAAAUAUGGUCAUUGCAUCUUCAUCAUUCAACGGUUUAAACAAUAUGUGUUCACGCUUUUUUUCGGAAAGGGCUAACUUAGAGAGAUGUGGUGUGUCUUCAGCAGGAGAGAAUGUGAAGACCUUCAGUAAUGGAUGAACUUGCAGAAGACAAAGUGGAAGAAGCAGUCGUCAAGCUUCGGACACGGAUGUUGUGCCGGCCGAAGGCUCUCCGAUGCUUAAGUCAGCUAUAAGUGGUAACUUUGAUACUAUUCCCUAUUUAUAGGAGAGUUAAAACGGGAGCUUUGCACAAAGUUUCAAUGUGAGACUUUGUGCAAGUUGCUUUGGUGGUGACAUGUGUCCUUAGAGAUUAGGUUCGGCAGUCGAGAGCUUCGGCAGGUGGUCGCCGCUUCAGAAGAGUGUCUUCCUUUGGCAUGGAGGAGGGCGUGUCUGUCUUGGUGCUAGUCGUUUUUGAUGCUAGACAAGCUUGGUUUAUUAUGGUGUAAAUAGUAGUCCCCAAGUUGUCAAUCAAGAAGUGGCUUCUGGUUUGGGAACUUGUAAGAAGGUUGCAUAAUUAAAUCAAGCGUGUCGGCAUGACGGGUGCCCUAGGCAGUCCCCUAGUCCCCUAAGUUCAUAAGCUAGAAGGCACGCCCCCUAUUUUUUUUUUUGGGGCUUCGGCAUGUUGUGUGUCGAAGGGAAAUUAGCCUUCCGAAGGAAAAAUGGAGGUCAUUACUACAUUGUGACUAUAUAAUUAGCCAUGUGAGUUUUCGUGGAUGUUCGCAAUGGGUAGAGUGUCUUUAUCUAGAUCAUAUAACUCUGUCCAUAUAUCAAUGAGGUUAGCCACAUGGAUUCUUUGAUUUUCAAGAAAUGAACCAAGGUCUAUGAAACAUUCCAUGAUGCUGGGUCUUUUUUACCCAACGCAUCUAAGUUGCUGUGGAAGCAACUCAGGAAAUCGGUUUCGGAAUCAAGAAGAGAAGAAUCUUCACACCAAACCCUUAGUCUUCUAGUCCAAGUCUCUAUGGAUUGUCCACAAAGUGAUCUUCCGAUGGCUGAAAUGGCAAGUGAAAGUCCCUUACAGCGUUCUACUAUCUGCAGUUCAAUUGUCCCAAUGAAAGUCAAUUACUUUUGAAUUGAGACUCAAAUUCUAGAUUCUCUAAAUGUUCUGAAUGGUUUGAUGAAAGAGAGAAAACGAAUGCAAGCAUAUACAAAUAUAUGAAUGAGAAUAUGCCAUGCAAUGCAUUUAAUAAAUCACCAGUUUGGCAAAGGGUUGUGGAACAUAAGAGCUAUUAUCUUCAAGUGAAGUAGAAUGAUGAAAUAGGGUCAUUGCCUCUUCCUCAUUCAACAGUUUGAACAAUAUGUGUUCAUGCUCUUUUUCGGAAAGGGCUAACUUAGAGAGAUGUGUUGUGUCUUUAGAAGGGGAGAAUGUGAGGACCUUCGGUAAUGGAUGACCCUGCAGAAGACAAAGUGGGAGAAGCAGCCGUCAAGCUUCGGACACUGAUGUGGUGCCGGCCGAAGGCUCUCCGAUGCUUAAGUCAGCUAUAAGUGGGAACUUUGGUACUGUUCCCAAUUUAUAGGAGAGUGAAAAUGGGAGCUUUGCACAAAGUUUCAAUGUGAGACUUUGUGCAAGUUGCUCUGGUGGUGACAGGUGUCCUUAGAGAUUAGGUUCCGCAGUCGAGAGCUUCGGCAGGUGGUCGCCGCUUCAGAAGAGUGUCUUCCGUUGGCAUGGAGGAAGGCAUGUCUGCCUUGGUGCUAGUCGUUUUUGAUGCUAGACAUGCUUAGUUGAUUAUGGCAUAAACAGUAGUUCCUAAGUUGUCAAUCAAGAAGUGGCUUCAGGUUUGGGAACUUGUAAGAAGGUUUCAUAAUUAAAUCAAGCGUGUCGGCAUGACGGGUGCCCUAGGCAGUCCCUAGUCCCCUAAGUUCAUAAGUUAGAAGGCACGCCCCCCAUUUUUUUUUUUUUUGCGCUUCAGCAUGUUGUGUGUCGAAAGGAAGGUAGCCUUCCGAAGUAAAAAUGGAGGUCAUUACUACAUUUUGACUAUAUAAUUAGCCAGGUGAGUUUUCGUGGAGGUUCGCAAUGAGUAGAGUGUCUUCAUCUAGAUCAUAUAACUCUGUCCAUAUAUCAAUGAGGUUAGCCACAUGGAUUCUUUGAUUUGCAGAAAAUGAACCAAGGUCUUUGAAACAUUCCCUGAUGCUGGGUCUUUUUUACCCAACACAUCUAAGUUGCUUUGGAAGCAACCAAGGAAAUCGGUUUCGGAAUCAAGAAGAGAAGAUUCUUCACACCAAACCCUUAGUGUUCUAGUCCAAGUCUCUAUGGAUUGUCCACAAAGUGAUCUUCCGAUGGCUGAAAUGUCAAGUGGAAAUCCCUUACACCUUUCUACUAUCUGCAGUUCAAUUGUCCCAAUGAAAGUCAAUUACUUUUGAAUUGAGACUCAAAUUCUAGAUUCUCUAAAUGUUCUGAAUGCUUUGAUGAAAGAGAGAAAACGAAUGCAAGCAUAUACAAAUAUAUGAAUGAGGAUAUGCCAUGCAUUGCUUUUAAUAAAUCACAUAUUCGGCAAGGGGUUAUGGAACAUAAGAGCUAUUAUCUUUGAGUGAAGUAGAAUGAUGAAACAGGGUCAUUGCAUCUUCAUCAUUCAACGGUUUAAACAAUAUGUGUUCAUGCUCUUUUUCGGAAAGGGCUAACUUAGAGAGAUGUGUUGUGUCUUCAGCAGGGGAGAAUGUGAGGACCUUCGGUAAUGGAUGAACCUGCAGAAGACAAAGUGGGAGAAGCAGUCGUCAAGCUUCGGACACUGAUGUGGUGCCGGCCGAAGGCUCUCCGAUGCUUAAGUCAGCUAUAAGUGGUAACUUUAGUACUGUUCCCAAUUUAUAGGAGAGUGAAAAUGGGAGCUUUGCACAAAGUUUCAAUGUGAGACUUUUUGCAAGUUGCUCUGGUGGUGACAGGUGUCCUUAGAGAUUAGGUUCCGCAGUCGAGAGCUUCGGCAGGUGGUCGCCACUUCAGAAGAGUGUCUUCCUUUGGCAUGGAGGAGGGCAUUUCUGCCUUGGUGCUAGUCGUUUUUGAUGCUAGACAUGCUUGGUUGAUUAUGGUGUAAACAGUAGUCCCCAAGUUGUCAAUCAAGAUGUGGCUUCUGGUUUGGGAACUUGUAAGAAGGUUGCAUAAUUAAAUCAAGCGUGUCGGCAUGACGGGUGCCCUAGGCAGUCCCCUAGUCCCCUAAGUUCGUAAGCUAGAAGGCACGCCCCCCUUUUUUUUUUUUUUGGGGCUUCGGCAUGUUGUGUGUCGAAGGGAAGGUAACCUUCCGAAGGAAAAAUGUUAUGUCAUCCUGAGGCGCGAGGGUCCUCCCAAGCUUCAGAAUAAAGCCUUCCGAAGGGAAGGUGUGACGUCGCGAGAGCCUUUAGAAGGAAAGGUGUGACAUCAUCGCGAGUCACGCGAGUCCUUUCAUGCUUCGGAAGGGAGCCUUCCGAAGGGAAGAUGUGACGUCAUUUCGAGUCGCGAGAGUCGUUUCACGCUUCGGAAGGGAGCCUUCCGAAAGGAAGGUUUUACGUCAUUGCGUUGCUAUGUGUUUAGCGAUAUUUGAACCAUUUGUUUGUGGAAAUCGAGGCGUCCCUAACGGUAGGAUGAGUUAUUGCGAUGGAUUGAAAAUUGAUAAGCUUUGUGUGCCUUUAAAAGGGCGUGAAGGGUUGAAUGGGGAGCACUUAGAAUUUUUGAGAGACUUGAGUAGAGGAGCAAGGGCGAUUUUUGAUUAGGUUGAGUUGCAGCGGAGGCCAUUUUCGGUGAAGUUGAAGGGGAUUCCGUCAAGGCCUAGCGAUUUCCGGCAGUUGUGUGUGGCAGCGGUAAAAAGGUAUGUCAUGUUUUGUUCUCUUGCCUUAGAUUGAAGUUUUCGUUUUGCUUGAGUUUGUGCAUGAACUUGUAUGAGUUUAGAUGAACUUGCAUGAACAUUGAAGAACGUUUGAAGAACAUGACUAGGCCUUUACUUUCAAUCUUCGAAUGCCCCUUAGUUUCCUUAUUUCUGUGUUUGUAGAUGUCUGAUAAUUCUGAAAGGGAAAGUCAAAGUCCAUCAAGUCCCCAUGCCUUCAGUGGGGAAGAGUUUAAGAGUGAUAGUCAUGAUGAAGCCCUGGGUACCGAUGAAGAGAAUACUGAGUCAUAAACAUAGUGGAAGGGCUGAUAGUGGAGGGGGAUAGGGUGGGGGAAGAAGAGCAGUCAAUGAGCUCUUGGGAGAGGGGGGGAAGGAGGGGAGGGAGCCUAUAAGGAGAUGCAUAGGAAUUAUGCUACCUUAAAGGUUGUUGCCAACCGGGUGUUGGGUAUGACUCAAGCACUAGAAGCUAGUAUUAGUGGGCGAGUGGGGCCAUCUGGGUGUGGUAUGGUGGUAGUGGCUUCUGCUGGUGUGGGCCUUCCAGUUGAGGUUCCGUUGUCGAAGAGGAAUAUGAUGAGUCUCUAUGAGCUAGAUUUACUGAAGGUAGACUAUGUGAUAUCUGCUCGUGUAGGGUUGAGGUUGCAUUCGGUAAAGGGCAUAGGUCGUGGCUUCGCCCAGAGAGGCUAGUGGCUGCGGUGUUGCUCACUCUCCAGACGCCGGACCUUCUCCAGACGCUAGACCUUCUUGAAGAGAAGCCUUAGUGUCAGGUGCUGAUGGCCUAGGGUGUGAGCGGGGAGGGGUUGGGGAAGAUUCCCACUCUUUGAAUGCUUAUGUAUGGUAAGACACCCAGUCCUCUGGGUGAUAAGGCUCCCAGUAAUCCAAGUCCCCUACACCCUUUUCUGCGGGUAAGUGGGUGGGCUUUGGUUGGGGGCCCAUGUGUGUCACCCUUAGGUAUUGGUUGACGGUCGGAGAUGCGGUCCCUACAAUCUCUGUAGAUCUUCACUAGUUUAUGGGGCCGGUCCUUUGGCGGGGAUAUGCGAAUGAGCCGCGACUAGGUCGACUCCGGAUGAAGGUGGCCUUUACCCCUACAGAGCCUAGAUUGGGCCGGGGCGCUGUGGCUGGAUUGCAUUGGCUGGUUUGGCUGGGUAUGCCCAACAUCCUGGGUAUGGUCAAGUCGGGUGCCCUGGGGGUGAGUCAUCUCCCAGUUGUGCUUCAGAACACGAUAAUCAUGCUCCAGCUCAAUAUUCUUGCAAUGAAGAUGCUCGUACUUCUUCGAUAUUUUGGUAACACUGGCGUGGAGGCGCUCCACUUCUAGAAGUACCAUCGCGAGAGGUAUGGUGCUGGAUAUCGUGGCUAUCCUCGGUCGGCAUAGCGGAAUAUGGGGUGAAGAAGAGCGGACGGGGCCUGAUGGGAGAGGGAGUCAGCUGGGCUGGUAGAGAAAAAUGGGAUUCAAGAGUCGGUUCCCACAGACGGCGCCAAACUGUUGAUGCUCUUUUUCAGAAAGGGUCAACUUAGAGAGAUGUGGUGUGCCUUUAGCAUGGGAGAAGGUGAGGACCUUCAGCAAUGGAUGAACCUGUAGAAAACAAAGUAGGAGAAUCUGUUGUCAAGUUUUAGACACUAAUGUGGUGCCGGCCGAAGGCUCUCCGAUGCUCAAGUUAGCUAUAAGUGGUAACUUUGACAGAGUAACAGAAAAUGUGAGAAAGUAGUUACCCUUUUUACUUGGGUACUAUUCCCUAUUUAUAGGGGAGUGAAAAUGGGAGCUUUGCACAAAGUUUCGAUGUGGAACUUUGUGCAAGUUAAUCUGGUGGGGACAGGUGUCUUUGGAGAUUAGGUUCGGUAGUUGGGAGCUUAGGUAGUCGGGAGCUUCAGAAGGUGGCCGCCGCUUCGGAAGAGUGUCUUUCUUUGGCAUGAAGGAAGGCGUGUCUGCCUUGGUGCUAGUCGUUUUUGAUGCUAGACAUGCUUGGUUGAUUAUGGUGUGAACAAUAUGCAUAACCAAAUCUUGGAAACUCAGAUAUUGAUGUCACCAAAAUCUUGUAAUGUGACAUUUUGAAUCGAUCAAACUUGUCAAGAAUGGAUUCUGACCAAACAUCAUAUAGGACCAACAGUAUAGGAUUUUGUCCUGGUUCCUUCAAAAAUUUUUGCAGCCUGAGAACCGCAAUUUCUUCAAGAUGGAGGUCAUUAGGUACCUGGUAUUCCUUGUGUCAAUAUAGUUGUUGUACAAUAUGCUCAAAGUUGAGCUUUUUGGAAACAAGGACAAAGAAGCUAUUGUUCUUGUAUAUAUGUGUCCAAAUACAACAUUAAAAAGCUGUUACUGGGAGGCAACUAUAAUCAGUCUACAAUUCCAGUCCUUGCAUAUGCAAAUACUGUGAGACUGAAGCAAUU